GACGAACGCUGGCGGCGUGGAUUAGGCAUGCAAGUCGAACGGUAUCAUCCUUUCGGGGGUGAGAGAGUGGCGAACUGGUGAGUAACACGUAGGUUAUCUACCCUCAAGACGGGGACAACCCAGGGAAACUUGGGCUAAUACCGGAUGUGAGCAACUUUUAGUUGUUUGAAAGGUGGCGUAAGCUGUCGCUUGGGGAUGAGCCUGCGUCCUAUUAGUUAGUUGGUGAGGUAACGGCUCACCUAGGCAAUGAUAGGUAGGCGGCCUUAACGGGUGGUCGCCCACACUGGGAUUGAGAUACGGCCCAGACUCCUACGGGAGGCAGCAGUGAGGAAUAUUGGUCAAUGGGCGGCAGCCUGAACCAGCCAUCCCGCGUGAAGGAAGAAUGCGCUAUGCGUUGUAAACUUCUUUUCCAGGAGAAUAAAAUGCCAUACGUGUAUGGUACUGAAGGUAUCCUGGGAAUAAGCAUCGGCUAACUCCGUG
rnacentral:rRNA from 1 species